GGAGGAAACUCUGAUGCAGCGACGCCGCGUGAGUGAAGAAGGUCUUCGGAUCGUAAAACUCUGUCCUUGGUGAAGAUAAUGACGGUAGCCAAGGAGGAAGCCCCGGCUAACUACGUGCCAGCAGCCGCGGUAAUACGUAGGGGGCUAGCGUUGUUCGGAAUUAUUGGGCGUAAAGGGUGCGUAGGCGGUUUGGUAAGUCUGAUGUGAAAUCUAUGGGCUCAACUCAUAGUCUGCAUCGGAAACUGCCGGGCUUGAGUGUGGGAGAGGUGAGUGGAAUUUCCGGUGUAGCGGUGAAAUGCGUAGAUAUCGGAAGGAACACCUGUGGCGAAAGCGGCUCACUGGACCACAACUGACGCUGAUGCACGAAAGCUAGGGGAGCAAACAGGAUUAGAUACCCUGGUAGUCCUAGCCCUAAACGAUGACUGCUUGGUGUGACGGGUACCCAAUCCCGCCGUGCCGUAGCUAACGCGUUAAGCAGUCCGCCUGGGGAGUACG
rnacentral:rRNA from 1 species